CGGAGAGCCCCGCGUUGCGGUCUGACCCCCGACCCCGACGGUAACGCGGGGCGAUCCC
rfam:Mycobacterium sp. TBL 1200985 NODE_34_length_44764_cov_51.8784, whole genome shotgun sequence.